rnacentral:rRNA from 1 species
CCUACGGUGUGCUGCAGUGGGGAAUAUUGGACAAUGGGCGAAAGCCUGAUCCAGCCAUGCCGCGUGUGUGAAGAAGGCCUUCGGGUUGUAAAGCACUUUCAGUGGGGAAGAAAGCCUUGGGGCUAAUACCCUCGAGGAAGGACAUCACCCACAGAAGAAGCACCGGCUAACUCCGUGCCAGCAGCCGCGGUAAUACGGAGGGUGCGAGCGUUAAUCGGAAUUACUGGGCGUAAAGCGCGCGUAGGCGGUCUGAUAAGCCGGUUGUGAAAGCCCCGGGCUCAACCUGGGAACGGCAUCCGGAACUGGCAGGCUAGGGGGCAGAAGAGAAAGGUAGAUUCCCGGGUGUAGGGGUGAAAUGGGAAGGGAUCGGGAGAAAUACCGGUGGCGAAGGCGGCCUUCUGGACUGCCACUGCCGCUGGGGUGCGAAGGCGUGGUAGCAAACAGGAUUAGAUACCCGAGUAGUC